ACGGGAGGCAGCAGUGGGGGAUAUUGCACAAUGGAGGAAACUCUGAUGCAGCAACGCCGCGUGAGGGAAGAAGGUUUUCGGAUUGUAAACCUCUGUUUUUAGUGAAGAACAAAUGACGGUAGCUAAAGAGGAAGCCACGGCUAACUACGUGCCAGCAGCCGCGGUAAUACGUAGGUGGCAAGCGUUGUCCGGAUUUACUGGGUGUAAAGGGUGCGCAGGCGGGACUGCAAGUUGGAUGUGAAAUCCCGGGGCUCAACCCCGGAACUGCAUUUGAAACUGUAGCCCUUGAGUAUCGGAGAGGCAAGCGGAAUUCCUAGUGUAGCGGUGAAAUGCGUAGAUAUUAGGAGGAACACCAGUGGCGAAGGCGGCUUGCUGGACGACAACUGACGCUGAGGCGCGAAAGCGCGGGGAGCAAACAGGAUUAGAUACCCUGGUA
rnacentral:rRNA from 1 species